ACCUGACAGCUCAGUCAGUAGAGCAUGAGACUCUUGAUCUCAGGGUUGUGGGUUUGAGCCCCAUGUUGGGCA